rnacentral:lncRNA from 1 species
GUAAAGAUAAUUAUCAGCUGAAUUUUCUGGUCAUGCAUAAUUUCUAGUUUAAUAAUUUCUCUUACUCCUUUAUACCAAGCCUUCUAAUAUUAAUUCAAGAAAAAUAUACAUAUAGCUAAUUAAAAGAUCAAGUAGAAAAACAAGAUCAUUUCUCUUUCUGUAGAUCCAAACCAUGAGAGAAUUUACAAUGGCACGUAAUGCAAAGAAGAAAAAAGACAAACGCCAAACCAUGUAGGAGAAAGAGUAAGGAGUCAUAGUCUGUACAUAACAUCCACACAAGUUCACCGUAGUAAUAGUAAAGCAACCACAAUAUAAUUCCCGGCACUCACUGGUAUCAUGCUCAUAUGAAGAAAGAUCAAACAAAAUAUCAUUUACCAUGGUCGUGGAGAAGAGAGAAAUUACAAGAGAUCGUGAAGAAUUACAUCAACCCAGUACUCGAAUUUUCUUGUUCGGGAGAGGAAGAAAGAUGGAGGUAAGAUCAGAUGGAACUGGGUGGAAACCCUGCGGUGGGGGCCCGAAUUUCCUCUUCACCGGCCGAGGUUUCCUUGGGGCCGGUGGACACACCAAGGCUGGCUUGAAUACAUGCUCUUCCGACUUCGGUGUAACGCACUCCAGCUUCUCCUUGGCCGGCGACCCCGGCGCCUGGAGGUCCUCUACGGGCUUGGUAUGGACCCCCGUGGUCUGGAUUGGUGGAAGGGAUGGCAACUCAUGAUCCAAAACAAGCUCUAAGCCCAUCGUUCAACUCGACGACAGGAGGAGUGGGGAGACUAGAAUUGCAUUGGGAUUAUUGAAGACGUAGAUAACGAUGGUGGGGGUAUAAAGAAGCAGCGCUCACAAGGGCUCAAGGAGGGGAAGGGCAGGCGUGGAGACACAUGAGAUGGUGGUGAUGAUGGGCUUGGCAAGCGGAGAUGGGAAAAAAGGAAGAACCGAAUUAUAUGGAGUGGUAGUGCAAAGAAGUUAAAUAGUCACAGAGUGAGAGUGUGAGAGAGAGAGAGAGAGAGAGAGAGGAGCGCAAUGCAAAUGAUUGUGAGGAAUGAGGGAGGAAAGAAAGCUUCGGAAGGUACAGAGAGGAAAAGGUAAGGAGCAGAAAGAGUAAGGAAAUGGGAGUUAAGGCAGCCUUAACUCGGGGCUUGGCUCUAGCUGUGUCUGUGGCUUUAUUACCCCCCCACCGCAGCCCCCAAGUUGGGCCCCUGAGUGGUUAGGUGGGCAACAGGUUGAUA